UUUAAAUAAACAUAUUUUCUCUCUACUUUACUUUCAUUUUUGAAUUUUCAUUCUUUCAUUCUUAAAAAUCAUCAGGACAAAAUUAUAUAUAUAUAUAAAAUUCUCGUUUCAAAUCAAAGAAGAUAAAUUCAAGAAUUGGAAGCACAGAAAAACAAAUAAAUAUUUAAUUCAAUAUGCCCAUUUUAAAAUCUUGCUUAUUUUGCUUUUCUCCAAGGACUGGGAGUAUGUUGUCUGCAAUUCUCAGCAUGAUUAUUUCCAUGAUUACAGCCUGUAUGGUAAUAUACAAUUUGGCAGUCUCUUACGCGAAAACCCCACUCUUUAUUUAUGAGUGGGCAUUCAUAAUUUUCUCCAUUUUCGGGAUUACCGCAUCAUUAUUAUUAAUAAGAGGCGUUAGACAACAAAAUCGGAAAUACUUUUGGCCAUGGAUGGUGAAUAAUGUAAUCGUAAUAAUUAUAGUCUUGAUUUCUAUAUUAUUUGUUGCUUCGCUUAGUACAGUGGCUCCUAAACCUAGGGGAACCUAAGGACCGACAAAGUGAAAAUUUGAAAAAACGUUACCUCUCUAAAUUUUGACCCUUUCAGCUGUAAUGAUCGUAUCGAUGCCUAGGAUUAUAGGAAAAUUGGGAGACACAAAACGGUGUGCUACUCUUCGUAAUAUAUUUAAUUAUCAGCAUGGUCUUUGCGCUUUUUUGGAUUUACGGUUUGCUCUGCGUCAUAUCUCAUUACCAAGAGCUAGGGUUAGGGGGUUGAAAAGGAUAAAGGAACGAUAUUUUCGAAAAUGAUACGAUAAUAACCUAUAAAAGCAUCGAAUCUAAACAUCUGUAACAAAUAUAAUAUUAUAAUUCGUUUUAUAAUACUACAAUUAAUUUCCCUUUUUAUUUAAAAAAAAUAAAUUAUAAUGGUGUUUUUUAUAUUUGUUUUUUAUGUUCUUUUUAAAGAAGGAUAUCAAAGUAUUAUAAUAUAUCUACUUAUAUUUUUUCAAUUCGAAAUUUGUAUUCCAUUUACUAUUUUAUAGCUCAGGAUCACAAUUUGGUGUUGUAUAAGAAUAAAAUUGUUUUUUUUAUAAACUCAAUCUGACAUUAGAAAAAUGUUUAAAAAUCACAUGAAAAGACAAGGUUUUUAUAGUGGUACCUAAUCGCGACGAAGCUUUAGCGAUGCUAAGAAUAUGGAUCAAUAUUAAACCCUAUGUGCAAAUUGUCUCAUCGCAAACCCUCAACACCAACAAUAAAUUUUUCAUUAUUUACACUUGAUUUUGUAUCUUAAGCAUUGAGAUUAGUGAUCUGCAUAGGGCCUAAUUUUUCAUUUAU